CAGCGUUUGACAUUCCGGUCGCGGAUUUGGGAGACCAUUUCCUUCAGUUCGGCUGGACCGUGCACAGGUGCUGCAUGGCUGUCGUCAGCUCGUGUCGUGAGAUGUUGGGUUAAGUCCCGCAACGAGCGCAACCCUCGUCCUUAGUUGCCAGCAUUUAGUUGGGCACUCUAAGGAAACUGCCGGUGAUAAGCCGGAGGAAGGUGGGGAUGACGUCAAGUCCUCAUGGCCCUUACACGCUGGGCUACACACGUGCUACAAUGGCGGUGACAGUGGCCAGCAAGCACGCGAGUGUGAGCUAAUCUCCAAAAGCCGUCUCAGUUCGGAUUGUUCUCUGCAACUCGAGAGCAUGAAGGCGGAAUCGCUAGUAAUCGCGGAUCAGCACGCCGCGGUGAAUA
rnacentral:rRNA from 1 species